rnacentral:rRNA from 1 species
AUUGAACGCUGGCGGCAUGCCUUACACAUGCAAGUCGAACGGCAGCACGGGUGCUUACACCUGGUGGCGAGUGGCGAACGGGUGAGUAAUACAUCGGAACGUACCUUAUCGUGGGGGAUAACGCAGCGAAAGCUGUGCUAAUACCGCAUACGCCCUGAGGGGGAAAGCGGGGGAUCGCAAGACCUCGCGCGAUUAGAGCGGCCGAUGCCUGAUUAGCUAGUUGGUGGGGUAUAAGCCCCCCAAGGCGAAGAUCAGUAGCUGGGCUGAGAGGACGAUCAGCCACACUGGGACUGAGACACGGCCCAGACUCCUACGGGAGGCAGCGGUGGGGAAGUUUGAGCGAUGGGGCAACGCUGAGCCAGCAAUGCCGCGUGAGUGAAGAAGGACUUCGGGUUGUAAAGCUCUUUUGUCAGGGAAGAAACACCGGCUCUAACACAGUCCGGGAAUGACGGUACCUGAAGAAUAAGCACCGGCUAACUCCGUGCCAGCAGCCGCAGUAA